UAGAUGGGCCAUUGGUCUGACACAGUAUAGCCAUUCUUAUGUUCUUAUUUUAUCCACAGAGCAGCAAGGAAAUUCCUCAACCUGGAGGAAAGAACUUGACUUUGCUUCCAAGAGAAGGCAGGCCAGUCAGGCAAACCAUCCACGAUCUGCUGUCUGGCUUAGGUGGAGGACUGGCAUACCCUGAGAAAACUGGCUUCUACGGGACGAUCCAUGGUUAUGAUCAAAACAACAAAUGUGAUGGAUAUUUUCUAGGGUAUUGAAUUCUAAGACUAAUCACUGAAGGACCUAAGCACGGAUUAAAAGGCCUCCCAAGAUAGUGCUAUAGGUCUGUAUGGUGCAAAAAAAGGUAGAAGCAGGUCCCUGGAACCAGGAGCCGGACCAUGACUGAAUCACCCGUGGACCUUGGAACAAAGCCAGGAUGGAGCCCAAAGACUGCAAGUUCUCUGGGGCAAGGAGCAUGUCUUUACUUGCGUUGUCAGGUGCUUAGCACAUUAGUGGAUGCAUUAAACAUAACAAAAUCGGGAUAAUGCUUAUGACGUUGGAGAAAACAAC